rnacentral:rRNA from 1 species
CCUACGGGAGGCAGCAGUGGGGAAUAUUGGGCAAUGGGCGCAAGCCUGACCCAGCAACGCCGCGUGAAGGAAGAAGGCUUUCGGGUUGUAAACUUCUUUUAUCAGGGACGAAGCAAGUGACGGUACCUGAUGAAUAAGCCACGGCUAACUACGUGCCAGCAGCCGCGUUAAUACGUAGGUGGCAAGCGUUAUCCGGAUUUACUGGGUGUAAAGGGCGUGUAGGCGGGAGUGCAAGUCAGAUGUGAAAGCUAUGGGCUCAACCCAUAGCCUGCAUUUGAAACUGUACUUCUUGAGUGCUGGAGAGGCAAUCGGAAUUCCGUGUGUAGCGGUGAAAUGCGUAGAUAUACGGAGGAAUACCAGUGGCGAAGGCGACGAUCUGGCCUGCAACUGACGCUCAGGCCCGAAAGCGUGGGGAGCAAAUAGGAUUAGAUACCCGAGUAGUC